rnacentral:lncRNA from 1 species
GUUGGAGUCGGUGGCUCUCCUAGGGUUUCCUCAUUUGGGAUCAUCCUGGGGAAGAGGAUCAGGCUGGCCCUUGCGAACAGCUUGAUGCACUAUCUCCCUUCAACCCUUUGAGCGAAAUGUGGCAAAAGGAAAAAGAAUCCUUGGUUCUAGUAAAAUGCAUUCAGGAUUGUCCAAACAAUAAGAAAAAGAAAUUAAAAAUCUGAAAGAACCAAUGCAUCUAGUAAAAUGAAAAGUACCGAGAUUGAUUUACCAAAUUCUGC